ACACUGUUUGGGGGAUGGCUCGGUUCGAGCGCCGAUGAAGGUCGUGCCAAGCUGCGAUAUGCGUUGGGUAGGCGCAAGGAACCUACGAUCCAACGAUUACCUAAUAGGACUUCCUACACUUCGGUGUGAUCAGUAAUGAUCGGGAACGCGGGGGAUUGAAGCAUCUUAGUACCCGCAGGAAAAGAAAUCAAUAGAGAUGCCGUUAAUAAAGGCGAUCGAAAACGGCAGAGAGCAAACUGAAUCCCUACAGAAAUGCAAGGGAGAUGUGGUGUUGUAGACUCUGUGGUUCCCUAACGAACGAACACGAAAUUCACUGGAACGUGAUGCCAAAGAGGGUGAUAGCCCCGUAGUGGUAAGUUCGAGGGAUAGCGGAGUAUCUUGAGUAACGUGCGUUGGAUAUCGCGCGUGAACUGGGAGGCAUAAACUUCCAACUCUAAAUACGUCUCGAGACCGAUAGCGCAAUAGUAGCGUGAGCGAAAGCUGAAAAGUACUCUUAGCGGAGGCAUGAAAAGAGCCUGAAACCAAACAGUUAUAGACUGAUAAUGCAUGAAAGCGACGAAGCAUCGAAAGAUGUGGAGCAGUGUUUUAUCGUCCGUUUCGAAAAACGGGCCAGGGAGUUCUGUUCAAUGGCGAGGUUAAGGGAUUCAAUCCCGAAGCCGUAGGGAAACCGAUUGUCCGCAGCCCUGUAAGGGGUGAGGGACUACGUGUGCUCGCGAUAGUCAUUGAAGCGAUACCCGAAGCCAGUCGAUCUAUACCUGAGUAGGAUGAAGCCCUUCGAAAGGAGGGUGGAGGUCCGAACCAGUGCUGAUGUGCAAAUCGCUUGGAUAACUUGGGCAUAGGGGUGAAAGGCCAAUCUAGACUGGAAAUAGCUGGUUCCUCCCGAGACUACUCGCAGGUAGAUCUCAGUUAAGGUAGAUGGUGUGGUAGAGAUACUGAUUGGGUGUUUAGGGGACGAAAGUUCUCGGCACCCUGCCAAACUCCGAAUGUGCUGUCGCCGUAGAAACUGGGAGUGAGGGCAUCAGGGGUAAGCUCGAUGUCCAACAGGGUAAGAACCCGACUUGAAGUUAAGGUCCCCAAAUAGCGACUAAGUGUAACUCAAAGGGCGUUCAUGGUCUAAAACAACUGGGAGGUGGGCUUAGAAGCAGCCACCCUUUAAAGAUAGCGUAACAGCUCACCAGUCGAGAUCAUGGGCCCCGAAAAUGGACGGGGCUAAAGUCGCUUACCGAUACUUCAAAAUACCGCAAGGUAACUUGGUAGGGAGGUGUAGUGUGUGGGUAGAAGCUGGGCCGUGAGGUCCAGUGGACCGCAUUCUAAUAAGGAUCCUGGUAGGAGUAGCAGCAAAGUACGUGUGAGAAUCCGUACCGCCGUAGGGGCUAGGGUUCCUCGACAAUGUUCGUCAGUCGAGGGUUAGUCGAUCCUAAGGUAUUUCUUAAUCUAAAAUACCGAAAGGGAAGCAGGUUAAUAUUCCUGCGCCGAAAGCGUUUUUGUCCACAAAUUGACACAUCUGGGUAAUGCCUUGCACGCUCGUCUGCGUGUUCAAGCGUAUAUGCUGGGGAAGAAUCGUAAUGAUGAGAACCCGGUGAAAUCGUGAUGAGGCCAGCUAGUCUGGCUUUGGCUUAUCCCCGGUGUCCAUGAAAAGGUUUGUGGUUACAACGUUUUUGUUCGUACCCAGAACCGCCACAGGUGCCCCUAGGUGAGAAGCCUAAGGCGUGUCGGCAUAAUCCAGGCAAGGGAACUCGGCAAAAUAGCCCCGUAACUUCGGGAGAAGGGGUGCCAGCCAUGAGAAUGUCUGGUCGCAGUGACAAGGGGACUCCGACUGUUUAAUAAAAACAUAGGUGGCAGCUAGUCCGUAUGGAUGUGUAUUGCCGCUGAAACCUGCCCAGUGACGGUAUCUGAAACCCGGGUACAACCGGUAGAAGGACCGUUAAACGGCGGGGGUAACUAUGACCCUCUUAAGGUAGCGUAAUACCUUGCCGCUUAAUUGGCGGCUUGCAUGAAGGCCCAACGAGAGUCCUACUGUCCCUGCCUGGAAGCCGGUGAAACUGACUUUACUGGCGCACAGUCCAGUACCUUCCACCUGAAAGCGAAGACCCCAUGGAGCUUUACUGCAGCCUGUCGUUGUGUUACGAUAUUUGAUGUGUAGAGUAGACAGUAGAUGUUGAAAGCCGGGCGCCAGCUCGGAACUAGUCAAAAGUGAAACACUGUCCUUUAAGCAUUGUAAUACUCACUUCCCCGGAAGGACACCGAUAGGUGGGCAGUUUGGGUGGGGCGCCACGCCCUCGAAAAAAUAACAAGGGCGCCCAAUGGUCGGCUCAGGCAGUUCAGAAAUCUGCCGUUGAGUGCAAGGGCAAAAGCCGGCUUGACGUGGUUUAGCCCAACAAUAAACCACGAUGCGAAAGCAGGGCCUAGCGAACCAACACAUUUCAUUUAUGGGAGGUGUUGAUAACAGAAAAGUUACCCUGGGGAUAAUUGAGUUGUCGCCGGCAAGAGUUCAUAACAUCUUGCUGAUCAGUUGAUAUUUGCAUGAUGUGAAUCUAUCGACCCGGCGGCUUGCUACUUCGAUGUCGGUUCUUCCUAUCCUGGUGGUGCAGCAGCUGCCAAGGGUGGGGUUGUUCGCCCAUUAAAAGGGAUCGUGAGCUGGGUUUACAACGUCGUGAGACAGUUGUGUUGCUUUUUGGUGGAAGUGUUUUGAUGUCUGAGGGGAAAGAGCCUUUAGUACGAGAGGGACGGGGUUUUGGGUCCAUUAGUCGUCCAGUUGUUCGAUUUUUUUUUUCAAGCAGAAGACGGCAUACGAGAUAAGGGCUGAAAGCAUCUAAGCCCGAAGCUUACCCUAAAAAGAGACAUCUU
rnacentral:rRNA from 1 species